rnacentral:rRNA from 1 species
AAAGGAAUAGACGGGGGCCCGCACAAGCAGUGGAGUAUGUGGUUUAAUUCGACGCAACGCGAAGAACCUUACCAGGGCUUGACAUCCUCUGACCGCAGCAGAGAUGCUGUUUUCCCUUCGGGGACAGAGAGACAGGUGGUGCAUGGUUGUCGUCAGCUCGUGUCGUGAGAUGUUGGGUUAAGUCCCGCAACGAGCGCAACCCCUAUGGUCAGUUGCCAGCACAUAAUGGUGGGCACUCUGGCGAGACUGCCGUUGACAAAACGGAGGAAGGUGGGGACGACGUCAAAUCAUCAUGCCCCUUAUGUCCUGGGCUACACACGUACUACAAUGGCAACAACAGAGGGCAGCCAUGCCGCGAGGCAGAGCGAAUCCCAAAAUGUUGUCUCAGUUCAGAUUGCAGGCUGCAACUCGCCUGCAUGAAGUCGGAAUUGCUAGUAAUGGCAGGUCAGCAUACUGCCGUGAAUACGUUCCCGGGCCUUGUACACACCGCCCGU